UACGUAGGGUGCAAGCGUUGUCCGGAAUUAUUGGGCGUAAAGAGCUCGUAGGCGGUCCGUCACGUCGGCUGUGAAAACCCGGGGCUCAACUCCGGGCCUGCAGUCGAUACGGGCGGACUAGAGUACUGCAGGGGAGACUGGAAUUCCUGGUGUAGCGGUGAGAUGCGCAGAUAUCAGGAGGAACACCGGUGGCGAAGGCGGGUCUCUGGGCAGUAACUGACGCUGAGGAGCGAAAGCGUGGGGAGCGAACAGG
rnacentral:rRNA from 1 species